CACAGCCAGACCUCAUCCAGUCAGCAGCCAGGGGCCCAGCUUGCAGUGGCCUGACCAUCAGCUGGCCCAGAUGGGCCUGAGCCUGACCUGGAGUUCUGCCCCUGACUUGCUGGUGACCAUGGGCAGGCGACUGCAUCUCAGUUACCCCAUUUGUAGCCCACGUGUGUUGUCAUGAAAAUGAAACAAGGUGGCGCUGGUGAGAAGCAGGUGGAAGGCAGGGCUGCUGGCCACAGGCUGCUGUGAGGAUCAGAGCUCGGGCAGUACCUCCAAACUGCAUGGGCAUUGGCAUAUACCUCCCUUUCACCUCAACUCAGGCUAUCCCCCAACCCCUGUCUAGAAGGGUCUCUCUGUUCUGCUUGUCUGGAUAGAAUGCCAGUCACUAUUGGGUGGUCCUCCAGGUCUUCAUGGGUUGAUCCUUUGUUAGGGUUAUAGGGAUGAGUGGGGCAGGGACUGGCCUACAUGACAAUGAGGCAUUCACAGCCUGAUCAGGGGCCUGGCCAC
rnacentral:lncRNA from 1 species